rnacentral:rRNA from 1 species
GAGCCCUACGGGACGCAGCAGUGAGGAAUAUUGGUCAAUGGGCGGAAGCCUGAACCAGCCAAGUCGCGUGAGGGAAUAAGGCCCUACGGGUCGUAAACCUCUUUUGCCGGGGAGCGAGGGCCGGGACGCGUCCCGGCCCGGAGAGUACCCGGAGAAAAAGCAUCGGCUAACUCCGUGCCAGCAGCCGCGGUAAUACGGAGGAUGCGGGCGUUAUCCGGAUUUAUUGGGUUUUAAGGGUGCGUAGGUGGUUAAUUAAGUCAGCGGUGAAAGUUUGUGGC